UCAGCUGUACGUUUAUUAACUUCUCAUUGGAAAGUGCUCAAACUCUUUCCAUUCCAUCUGUUACAAUGUCUCAGCGUGUUUCCAAUGCAGUAAAUAAACCAAUGGCUUAGGUUUCAAUCAGGUCUCAUACUUUUGUCAAAACAAAAAAAAACUCUCUCUCUCUCUCUCUCUCUCUCUCUCUCUCUCAUGCCAGAAACAUGCUCUCCGGAAAAAGAGAAAUAAGCCAUGGAAAUUUGCAAUCUCAAGUGGAGGCUCCCAUCGUUGCUCUCUCCGUUCAUCAACAAAGCUUCUCCCGUUGCUGAAUCUAAGACAUCCAUUAUGCUUAAUGCUCCCUUCCACCACUGUUCAGAUUUGCUAAUUUUGCGAAGUUUCUCUCAAGUGGUGCUAAAAGUCUGGUGUCGAUGCCAUUGUUGCGGUGGUUCGAGCUGCUUGCACCUAAGGUGAUUCAAUCCCAGUUGUAUAAGAUUGCUCUGGCAUAUGUAAGGAUGGGAUUUAUGGAUGUUCCGAUGGUAACAGAACUGGAAUUGAUCCCAGACACAAUGAGCUUGGAUGUAAACAAAUUCUUUGCUAUUAGGACCUACGAGCAUGGCAGUGAGGAGAACAACAUUAGUGAAAUCAAAGUUUUGCAAUAGUGUUACGAUAUUGUUUUCUGUUGCGAGGGUGGAAGUUCUGCAACGGAGGGGCUGUCUUGCUGCUGCAGUUUUUUUAUGGUCUAGAUGUGGUAUUUGGAGGCCGACUAAGAUGAUUUUUGUGUUAAAGAUCAGUCUUUAGGCUUUAGGUUUGACUGGAGAAGGUUUUUUUUUUUUUUGUUCUGCCUUAGCUGUGUUGUGUUAGUAUCUCCUCUUAAGCCUUUCUAUUUUUGCUAACGGACUUUCCAUGUUUUGGUGGCACUAUCUCCUCUUAAGCAACCAUCAAAUAUUACACUCCAAUUAGGUGCCUAUAUUUUUGUGGCACUAUCUCCAUAAUUUCAGUAGCUCUGUCAAUGCAUCUAUUGUCUGGGAUGGAAACAAAUAUUGCAUCUCGAAUUGCUGUCUUUAUUCCAUUAACGGUCUCUUUUAUGAUGAACAUAAAUCGUGUGACAUUCA